rnacentral:rRNA from 1 species
AGUGGCGACUGAACGGGAAUUAGCCCAUCGAUGAAUCCUCUGUGUUAGUGUGCACAGUUGGAGUUGUGUCGUAUGGCCGGCGCUGGUUGAUACAGGAGUCGCUCGAAGUCCACUUGACUGUGGCUUCCUGAGAGGGUGAAAGACCCGUGUGAGCGAAUCGUGUAGAGACAGGUGUUGGUCUGGAGUAGGAUUGUCUGAGAUCGCAGUCCGAAGUAGGUGGUAAACCCCAUCUAAGGCUAAAUAUGACCACGAGACCGAUAGCAAACAAGUACCGUGAGGGAAAGUUGCAAAGAACUCUGAAGAGAGAGUUCAAGAGGACGUGAAACCGGUAGGAAGGAAGCGAAUAGAGUCGAUGAAGAUUGGGCUCGAUUCAGCCGUACGUGAAAGGCUUCGUGCUUUAGCUGCGGUUCAUUUCGAACUCAUGGCGCCGAGUUGUAUGCUUGGUCGCAAUGACGUCGCACGUUGGUGCCCACUGAAGUGGUGUCUCUCGUGUGACUGACGUGCGUGCCGGGUAUGCAGAAGCUGUUGAUCUCACGAUCAUCACUCGGUGUGAAAGUCGAUCACCUAUUCGACCCGUCUUGAAACACGGACCAAGAAGUCUAACAUAUGCGCGAGUCAUUGAGUGUUCAAAACUCAUAGGCGUAAUGAAAGUGAAGGCUAGCAUUAGUUGGCUUACAUGUGAUCGGAAGGGUUCGUCCCGACCGCGCAACAUGGCCCCAUUCAGUUCGCUGUGUGGAGGUAGAGCGUAUAUGUUAGGACCCGAAAGAUGGUGAACUAUACAUGAGCAGGAUGAAGCCAGAGGAAACUCUGGUGGAAGUCCGAAGCGGUUCUGACGUGCAAAUCGAUCGUCUGACUUGUGUAUAGGGGCGAAAGACUAAUCGAACUU